AAUGAGCCUGCGAGUUGUGGUGUCUGGCAAGGUUAAGCAAACGCGAAGCCGUAGCGAAAGCGAGUCUGAAUAGGGCGCUUAGUCAGAUGCUGCAGACCCGAAACGAAGUGAUCUAUCCAUGAGCAAGUUGAAGCUAGUGUAAGAACUAGUGGAGGACUGAACCCAUAGGCGUUGAAAAGCCCCGGGAUGACUUGUGGAUAGGGGUGAAAGGCCAAUCAAACUUCGUGAUAGCUGGUUCUCUCCGAAAUAUAUUUAGGUAUAGCGUUGUGUCGUAAUAUAAGGGGGUAGAGCACUGAAUGGGCUAGGGCAUACACCAAUGUACCAAACCCUAUCAAACUCCGAAUACCUUAUAUGUAAUCACAGCAGUCAGGCGGCGAGUGAUAAAAUCCGUCGUCAAGAGGGAAACAACCCAGACUACCAGCUAAGGUCCCUAAAUCUUACUUAAGUGGAAAACGAUGUGAAGUUACUUAAACAACCAGGAGGUUGGCUUAGAAGCAGCCAUCCUUUAAAGAAAGCGUAAUAGCUCACUGGUCUAGUGAUUUUGCGCGGAAAAUA
rnacentral:rRNA from 1 species